ACGGAGGGUGCAAGCGUUAAUCGGAAUUACUGGGCGUAAAGCGUACGCAGGCGGUUGGAUAAGUUAGAUGUGAAAACCCCGGGCUCAACCUGGGAAUUGGAUUUAAAACAAGACAGACAGAGACAUGUAGAGGGGGGUAUAAUACCCGGUGUAGCGGUGAAAUGCGUAGAGAUCUGGAGGAACACAGGUGGCGAAGGCGCCCCCCUGGACAAAGACUGACUCUCAGGUGCGAAAGCGUGGGUAGCAAACAG
rnacentral:rRNA from 1 species